AUUGAACGCUGGCGGCAGGCCUAACACAUGCAAGUCGAGCGGUUGACGGGAGCUUGCUCCCUGAUUCAGCGGCGGACGGGUGAGUAAUGCCUAGGAAUCUGCCUAUUAGUGGGGGACAACGUUUCGAGAGGAACGCUAAUACCGCAUACGUCCUACGGGAGAAAGCAGGGGACCUUCGGGCCUUGCGCUAAUAGAUGAGCCUAGGUCGGACUAGCUUGUUGGUGAGGUAAUGGCUCACCAAGGCGACGAUCCGUAACUGGUCUGAGAGGAUGAUCAGUCACACUGGAACUGAGACACGGUCCAGACUCCUACGGGAGGCAGCAGUGGGGAAUAUUGGACAAUGGGCGAAAGCCUGAUCCAGCCAUGCCGCGUGUGUGAAGAAGGUCUUCGGAUUGUAAAGCACUUUAAGUUGGGAGGAAGGGUUGUAGAUUAGUACUCUGCAAUUUUGACGUUACCGACAGAAUAAGCACCGGCUAACUCUGUGCCAGCAGCCGCGGUAAGAC
rnacentral:rRNA from 1 species